UUUCCAGUAUGGUCAAACCACCUCAUCUUUCAGAGAAAGGAGCUAACUCGUCUUGCUUGAAAGAAGACAUGCCUCGACUUGCCCCAUUGAUUGAGGGACAAAGGUUAGUUUGCAUCUCGCUGUUAGUGUUACUACGAGAUCUACUAUCUUGCAUAUGGCAGUCUUGAAUCAAUUCCUAUCCUCGAUAGUUGAACCAACUCUCACUUCAACUGAAUAGUCAGGCCCAGUUUGAGAUUGAAUCAUUUCCUGUGAUUCAAAAGAAGGAAGCAGACCAAAGCCCUCGCAUAGUGAAAGUUGCCCAAAUGUGGACGUACCCAGGAUUCCAUUCCUACCGCAGGCCUUUUCUUGCUAUCUGUACUGGGCUCCCCACCACUGCUAGACUUAAGCUAGCUGCACCUGCCUUACCUGACCUGUUAAUCAAACCUAAAGGAGGAGAUAAGCCGAGAAAGGAUGGCUGGCAUUCAUCAGUAGGUGGAUCCGCCGUAGGGCUUGAUUCAGCCCUACGAAGGAAUACAUUCUAUAAUAAUAAGGUGUCUCUGUCCUUAGAGACAACCAGGCAUCGAGUUCCAUAGUUAGCUUGGCCGCGGCAUUUUUACCCUCAUUUUGUUUGUUUGGGCCGUCGGUCAGUCUUUCUUCUCCGGGGAACCAAUCUAAUCUGAACUUGACUUGAUAGGGCUCCAAAUGGAUCCCCUGGUUCUACCUCUGGAUUUCCUACGAAAGAAAAAGANNNN
rnacentral:lncRNA from 1 species